rnacentral:lncRNA from 1 species
AAUUAUCGAUAUCUUCUUCAACAUGUCUACUCUGAAAUAUGAUCCAACAGUAUAGAAAGCCUAGAAUGAAUAUGAACUUGACAUAGUCACCGAAAUUCAGAAAAAGAAAUCUCUGGUGGUAUUUCAUAAUUCCCUUCAAUUAUUUGGUAGGAUCCAGAAGUAGCAGCUUUCAUUGUUUAAGUACAGCCAUUGACUGGUAACAGAACAUGGCAUGCAUCAUUUCUUUAAAAUAAACUAGUAUUUGUACUAAGUCAUGAUAGAAGUGUAUGAGAAGUUUACUGAUGUAACAAAAGCAUCACAGACAUUUGUAAUGAAUGCUUUGUAAGGGAAAUGGGGCAAAAUCGAUAACUUGUGAUCAGUACAUCAUAAGCAUAAAUAUGAAGGACAUUUGUAUAUGGACAGAUCUGAGGUUCUAUGUCUUUCAACUAAAAAAGAAGUAUGUCUUUUAUGAUAUAAGAAUUUUUCUUAUACAAACAUGGAAGGAAUUUUCUUCAAAUAUGAGGUCUAUGUGUCCUUUUAUGGAAAGGCACACUGGGCCCUUCAGGAAAACACAUCACAAGCUAGAGUGUUGGGCUGAUUCACGUGACGUGCCCACGUGCUCUGUUACAGAGCUAGAUUUGUAUGCCUUUAAAAAAGGGAAGAAAAUAUGAAGUAUAAAUAUAACUCUUUCUCAUUAGGCCACUUGGCUUCAAAGUAAGAUAUCACAAGCAUUUUCCCCCCACUGAGGAAAUGGAAAGAUUGAAUGGUGAGAAAAAAUAAAAGAAA